rnacentral:tRNA from 1 species
GAACUUGUAGCUCAGUUGGAAGAGCAUUGGACUAGCAAACCAAAAGUCGCGGGUUCGAUUCCCACCGUGGUCA